rnacentral:tRNA from 2 species
CGGGGGCUGGCGCAGUCCGGCAGCGCGCACGGUUCGGGACCGUGAGGCCCCGGGUUCAAAUCCCGGGCCCCCGACCA